UGGCGAACCUUAAAUGUCAUGCAAGUCGAGCGAAUCGAUGGGAGCUUGCUCCCUGAGAUUAGCGGCGGACGGGUGAGUAACACGUGGGCAACCUGCCUAUAAGACUGGGAUAACUUCGGGAAACCGGAGCUAAUACCGGAUACGUUCUUUUCUCGCAUGAGAGAAGAUGGAAAGACGGUUUACGCUGUCACUUAUAGAUGGGCCCGCGGCGCAUUAGCUAGUUGGUGAGGUAAUGGCUCACCAAGGCGACGAUGCGUAGCCGACCUGAGAGGGUGAUCGGCCACACUGGGACUGAGACACGGCCCAGACUCCUACGGGAGGCAGCAGUAGGGAAUCUUCCGCAAUGGACGAAAGUCUGACGGAGCAACGCCGCGUGAACGAAGAAGGCCUUCGGGUCGUAAAGUUCUGUUGUUAGGGAAGAACAAGUACCAGAGUAACUGCUGGUACCUUGACGGUACCUAACCAGAAAGCCACGGCUAACUACGUGCCAGCAGCCGCGGUAAUACGUAGGUGGCAAGCGUUGUCCGGAAUUAUUGGGCGUAAAGCGCGCGCAGGUGGUUCCUUAAGUCUGAUGUGAAAGCCCACGGCUCAACCGUGGAGGGUCAUUGGA
rnacentral:rRNA from 2 species